rnacentral:sRNA from 1 species
GAAAUACGAGAUUCUAAGGAUGAAACAGA